AUGCGAUGAGCGGAUCCAAGCAACAGAGAAGCGCUUCCCCUCCUAGGCGAAUGGCUUUCGGUUCCCCUCCCACGCUCCCCACGCCCCCCACACUUUCGCAUAUAAAUCAAGCGCCUUUUACCCUUUCCUGCGUCGCUUCCACUGAGAACAAGAAAUGCGACAGAACCGUUUUGCUCCUUCAUGAGCUUCCCUGCAAGUCCCACGAAUCGUUCGACGAAAUGCCUCAAAAAUGACUUGCCUCCCACUCCCGAAUCCCUCUCUCGUCCUUCUCUCCUCCUCCUCCUCCUUCUGUGCCUCGCGCCAUAGCUGCCUCCGCCGCUCACCUCCUCUUCUCUCAUUCCUCCUCCGCUACCCUGCCUUGUCGCCGCCUCGGAGAGCACAUGCACCCCUCUCCCCAUCUCCGUUUCACGCCAACGACCCCUUCGUAAGGUUUUCCCGUCCAUCGCGGAGGUCGAGGAGAAGGGCGACGAGGGAAGAGGAUGUGUCUGGGAUGAUGGAUGCAGGAGCGGAUUUGGAGUCCCAGAUUCACGAGUUCAUGCACAAGUCCGGAAAUCCUAAUGAUUUUCCCACCAGAGUGGAGCUGAUUGCAGCGGGGAGGUAUGAUCUCGUCGAGGCCAUCACCAUACGUGGUGACUGGCUCACCUUCGGAUGGGAUUCCAAGGACAAGAAUACCGUCGACAGUGAUACUAAUGCUCUGGGAUCGACAGAGUUGGAAUCUGACGGCCGGGUGAUUCUAGAAGAUAGCAGAGUAUCACAAGAACGAUUCUUUGACAAUUCUUGCGGGAAUGUUGUCGUUACCAACGAUGUUCUUGAUUCUGAAGAUGAUCCUCUUAUGGCCUUUACUUCAGGGAGAUUGAUGGAAAGGGAGAGUGUGGGGACUGGUGGAGGGAUUGAAGGAAUUUUGAGCAGGCUUGAAAGAGAAAGGAAUUUGUUUCUAUCUAUAGGUAAGAAAGAGACUGGUUGGGCAUCACCGAGGAGCAAUAAACAUUUCCUAAGAGAGACAGCUGGUGAUAUUAUUGCUUCUUAUGACAAAAUCAUAGUGGACCCUAGCUUCUUAAAUAGUGAUUUAAAUGAUCCUAAGAUGCAUAAGAAAGCUCAGGAUUUGGCAGAAGCUGGCAACGGAACUAAUGCACUGGACUUUGACAUAAAUCAAAUAUGGUUGCGACUUCAGCAUCUGGAGUCAGAUUUGGCCUCUGCAUUACACUUACUGACAUCCAGAGCCGAUGCUGUCACUGCAGGGAAGGGCCAACAAAUUUCAACAGAUGAAUUGCAUAGUCUCUCUGAUGCAUGGGAAUUUCAAGAGACUGAAAUAGUCAGUGCCCAGGAUAAGCUAAGGUCUACUCGGGCAAGAAUGGCAGCACUUGAAGGAAAGAUGGCACUUGAGAUCAUAGAAGCAAAGAAAUUACUGGAAGAGAAAAAGAAAAGAGUUGAUGCUGCUCAAAAUGCUCUAAGCCUUCUACAGACGGUUUGCAUAGUUUGGCCUAAUUCUGCUUCAGAGGUUUUACUGGCUGGAUCCUUUGAUGGAUGGAAUAGUCAGCUGCCGUUCCAGGAUUUGGAUCUGAAACGGACUCUUGAAGCUGGUGUUUUGCUGUUCAAUCUAUCUGAGCUGGAUCAAUAAAGAAAGAGAAGGAUGGAAAGUUCAGGCUGGGGAAUCUUUUCCUUGUACCUAAAGUUGUAUCCUGGCAGAUACGAGAUCAAGUUUAUUGUUGAUGGUGUCUGGAAAAUCGACCCACUGCGGCCCCUUGUGCACAACAAUGGACAUGAAAAUAACCUUCUUAUUAUCACCUGAUACAUGUAAAUUGUGCGAUUUUUAGAUAGCUUAAAAGGUACAAUUCAAUCGAACCAAAUUAUCCAAUUCAAUUCA